rnacentral:rRNA from 1 species
UGGGGGAUAUUGCACAAUGGGGGAAACCCUGAUGCAGCAACGCCGCGUGAAGGAAGAAGGUCUUCGGAUUGUAAACUUUUGUCUUAUGGGAAGAAGAAAGUGACGGUACCAUAGGAGGAAGCCACGGCUAACUACGUGCCAGCAGUCGCGGUAAUACGUAGGUGGCAAGCGUUGUCCGGAUUUACUGGGUGUAAAGGGCGUGUAGACGGGAUUGCAAGUCAGAUGUGAAAUUUAUGGGCUCAACCCAUAACCUGCAUUUGAAACUGUAGUUCUUGAGUAAUGGAGAGGUAAGCGGAAUUCCUAGUGUAGCGGUGAAAUGCGUAGAUAUUAGGAGGAACACCGGUGGCGAAGGCGGCUUACUGGACAUUUACUGACGUUGAGGCGCGAAAGUGUGGGGAGCAAACAGGAUUAGAUACCCUGGUAGU